rnacentral:rRNA from 1 species
UGGGGAAUAUUGCACAAUGGGCGAAAGCCUGAUGCAGCAACGCCGCGUGAGUGAUGAAGGCCUUCGGGUUGUAAAGCUCUGUCUUUUGGGACGAUAAUGACGGUACCAAAGGAGGAAGCCACGGCUAACUACGUGCCAGCAGCCGCGGUAAUACGUAGGUGGCAAGCGUUGUCCGGAUUUACUGGGCGUAAAGGAUGCGUAGGCGGAUUUUUAAGUGAGAUGUGAAAACCCUAAGCUUAACUUGGGACUGCAUUUCAUACUGGAAAUCUAGAGUGCGGGAGAGGAGAAUGGAAUUCCUAGUGUAGCGGUGAAAUGCGUAGAGAUUAGGAAGAACACCAGUGGCGAAGGCGAUUCUCUGGACCGUAACUGACGCUGAGGCAUGAAAGCGUGGGUAGCAAACAGGAUUAGAUACCCUGGUAGUCCACGCCGUAAACGAUGAGUACUAGGUGUAGGAGGUAUCGACCCCUUCUGUGCCGCAGUUAACACAAUAAGUACUCCGCCUGGGAAGUACGAUCGCAAGAUUAAAACUUAAAUGAAUUGACGGGGUCAUAG